GCGUUUUUCUAGCGAGCUUGGGAUAGUGAAAGCCAAGUAGAACAAAGUAGGCAAUGGCGCUUUCUCUCAGCGAAGAGCUGAGUACAAACAGAUAAAAUGAAGUAAUAAAUUAGGGUGGAACCGCGUUUCUGACG
rnacentral:sRNA from 19 species